rnacentral:rRNA from 1 species
AGAGUUUGAUCCUGGCUCAGAUUGAACGCUGGCGGUAUGCUUUACACAUGCAAGUCGAACGGAUUUGGGGGCUUGCUCCCAAGUUAGUGGCGAACGGGUGAGUAAUAUAUCGGAACAUAUCCGGAAGUGGGGGAUAACGUAGCGAAAGUUACGCUAAUACCGCAUAUGCCCUGAGGGGGAAAGGGGGGGAUCGCAAGACCUCUCGCUUUCGGAGUGGCCGAUAUCGGAUUAGCUAGAUGGUGAGAUAAUGGCUCACCAUGGCGACGAUCCGUAGCUGGUCUGAGAGGACGACCAGCCACACUGGAACUGAGACACGGUCCAGACUCCUACGGGAGGCAGCAGUGGGGAAUUUUGGACAAUGGGCGCAAGCCUGAUCCAGCCAUACCGCGUGAGUGAAGAAGGCCUUCGGGUUGUAAAGCUCUUUCAGCCGGAAAGAAAUCGCAUUCCUUAAUACGGGGUGUGGAUGACGGUACCGGAAGAAGAAGCACCGGCUAACUACGUGCCAGCCGCCGCGGU